CAACUUUCAGCAGUGGAUGUCUAGGCUCGCACAACGAUGAAGAACGCUGCGACCUGCGAUACGUAAUGCGAAUUGCAGAAUUCAGUGAGUCAUCGAAAUUUUGAACGCACAUUGCACUUUCGGGUUAUGCCUGGAAGUAUGCCUGUAUCAGUGUCCGUA
rnacentral:rRNA from 1 species